rnacentral:rRNA from 1 species
UACGUAGGGUGCAAGCGUUGUUCGGAAUUACUGGGCGUAAAGCGCACGUAGGCGGCUUUGUAAGUCAGAGGUGAAAGCCUGGAGCUCAACUCCAGAACUGCCUUUGAGACUGCAUCGCUCGAAUCCGGGAGAGGUGAGUGGAAUUCCGAGUGUAGAGGUGAAAUUCGUAGAUAUUCGGAAGAACACCAGUGGCGAAGGCGGCUCACUGGACCGGUAUUGACGCUGAGGUGCGAAAGCGUGGGGAGCAAACAGG